UCAUUUAGCCAAACUGCUAAAACACGUUGCUUUAUACGUCGAAACGCUGCCAUAGAUCACAGAUUUGCUUUCAAAUAUGUUUUAUUCAUUUCUCAGCCCUCUUACCUGCGACUGAACACCACGAGCUCAUGAUCUGAACAACACUGAUUCAUGCCCACAAGAGGGCGCUAACGACUACACCUUGACUUAUUUGGCACUUGACAUUGAGCUAUUUAAUAACCUACCUAAUAGAUGCAUUAUAAUGUCUUGGUGUCUACAUUUUAAAUUAUACAUAUGUGGAGUGUAAAUGACUUAUCAGACUUUAAAUAAACGAGGCUUUAACGCUGUAACUCGUCCUGUUAGGGACUCUAGUGCAGUUCUCCAUCCGCUCCACCAGGCGGCGCGCGCGACUUCCCGUUCAGUCUGACCCAGAGCUUCAGGAUGUUGACAGUGUGACGUUUGUUUUGGUGCAGAAGCAGCACGAGUGUGCAGUUUUAAACACAUAAACUGAAGAUGACAGCUCAGCGACAGUGUUUUAAUGUCACUAAACAACAUUUAAUGCAGUCCGACAACUAAAAUAACCGACACACGCUGAGAUAAAGGACAGGAAUGCAGUGAAAAGCCACUCAUCUAGAAUGAGGGAUGUGUUUGGACCGUACAGUCAACAGAAGCAGAGCUCCGGGACGUUUGGACUACAUUUACUGGCGUGAUGGACGUCUGCUGCGGACAGG